AAUAGAGCAGUAUAUGUGUGAGUGUGAAUGUUUAUCUCUCAGCAAUCUCUGCUACCUCAACAUGUCUCUAUAAAAGGCCAAUAUGUGACAUCUGAAGGCAGAAUUGUGUGUCUGUGUGUGUGUGUGUGUGUGAGAAGUAUAGAUGCAGCAUUGUCAUUAGCGGUGGAUAUAGGAUACAUCUGGAUAAGGAAACUGUGAUGGUCGAAGCACCACUCCACCCUCGUACCCUUCCCGUCCCUUCGCAGGAAUGAAAUUAAAGUUCAAUGUGGGCAACCUAUUGUGGAUAAACUACACUUAGUAGAGUUACUUGAAGCUAAAAUCUCUGAAAUGAGGAGCCAGAUACAUUCAUGAUAAAUCAGUCACAAACAAAAAAUGUCUUUCAAAGUUUCUCGAUGAAUUACUGUGUAUCCACCGUGUGUGGAGGGCCUCUGCCAUGCCAGGUUUAUCUCUCUGUGGCCUAUUGAUACACAGAUCAACCAUUUCCCUGCGUGCAUUCAAGUUUGCUGUUAAUCUCCUCUCCGCUGUGCUCUCUUCCUUCAUGACUUUCAUCAGUGGUGUAUGUGCAUGAGACAAAGGGAGUGAAACUAACCCAUCCAUUGCUAAUCACAGAGCCCUGCAGUCAGAUAACAAAGGGGUUAACUUCGCCUGGGUGGGCUAUGGAGCAGCCCCCAGGGCAAAACACACUCACUCACUCUCUCUCUCUCUGUCACUCACACCUAUCGACACAAAUCAUGUCCACCAUCAUUAAAUAUCAACUACUAUUAUAAUAUACUCUCCUUUUCCAACAACACACCAUGAAGUACAUCCUUAAAGUUAAGUUUCUCAAAUUUAACCAUGUAAAUUUGGCCUUAAAUUCAAUCAAAUCUACACUUUAAGAUAAUAAUUAAAUACUUAAUGUAUGAAAAGUAUCAGAACAAGAAUAAUUAUUCACUUAGUUCCCAUUAUCUUCAAAGCAGAUGGUUAUUCUCUCAUUGACAGUGCACAAGUGGACAUUCACAUUCAAGGUGUAAACUGAUGGAAAGGAUCUAAGGCCGAGCUGCUAAUGAUUUUAGAGGUCACAUUUGUCCUUGCAUUGGUCAUAAUAUAUCAAAGCGACUUCCCCUUGAAGUGGUGUCAGGCACAUAGGUGGCUGACCAUUUGGCUGCUGGCUGUUUCAGACAGAUUUUGUCUGGUGUGUGUUUGUGCCAUCAUCAUCAUCAUCAUUAUGUCAGCAGGACAGGAGGUCUCCUCUAGGUGGUCCAGGUUUUCAGCAUUUUGUGUCUGACGCAAAUGAACCCAGUGGCGUAUCUUGACACAUUUGUGGCCCCCGACAAGGAGCAUACCAGAACACCCAAGUUAAGAAAAUGUCCUUCACUGCUACCACGCGCAAACACAGCCGUCGUCAGAGUACGCACAGGUUUCCCUAAACAGCCACCCAGGGAGAUCUCUACAGGUCAGAUCCAACUUUUGAAUAAGAACAAUGCUUUACACUCUCCUCUCGCUCCUUCUAUAACGUGCACUCACAUAUUUUGUGUUACUGGCAUUGCUGAAAAAUGUAUUAGAAAUUGCCUCAGGUUUAAUUCUCCUCCCUCUUUGUAAUUAAUUUUCUUGUUUAUGCAUUUAUUUCUCCAUGUCAAUACUUGUACAGAUCCAGUUUCAGGUGGUAGAGAGCUGAGCAACAUAUUGCAGACAUCCCUCUUCCCUGCCUCAUCCACCGGCUACUCCUGGGGGUCCUGAGGGACUUCCAAGCCAGAUGGGAAAUGCAUUCCCUCCAGUGUCUCCUGGGUCUGGCUCUGGGUCUCCUGCCGAUUGGAAAUGCGCAGAAUACCUCCACAGGGAAGCAAGAAGGAGCUCUACUAGUCACUAGCCACUACUGGUUGCCUUCAGCAUGAAGCCUUACGAAUAAAUACAACCCCAAAGAAAGGAGAGGAAUUCUCCACUAACUUCAACUCUUUUCAACUGUAAAAGGAGGAGGGACAUUACACAUCAAAAGUCACAGCGCACCAUGCCAAGGCUCUCACCUUUGUCUGCUGCCUAUUGUCACUGACAAUACUAAAAACAAAGAAGUGCAAUAAAGGGUGUUAAUUUGCCCCCUUUCUGCAUUUCCUCUAAUCGUAUAUUAUUUAUUUUUUUCUCUUUUAUUCAGUAUUGCACAAUUCACUGCGGCGACCACAGGCUUUGUUCUCAUAAUUAAGGAAGUGGACCAGUUCAGCCGUUACAAAGCCACAGAAAUAUUGCUUGAGUGUGGGAAUUAAAGCAUUUACCCUUUGUUUUGUGUAUGUAAUCAUAGCUCUUUAGCAGUGAAGAUCUAAAACACUGUUAUGUAUGUAACAUGGAAGGAUACAUGGAAGGAUUGUACAUAAAUUUCAGAUGGAUUUCUUUGUAACAUGAAUCCCUGUAUUUCUACCAUUCACACCAUAAAAGUUGCAAAGAAAAUGUUUUAUGAUCGCAGCUGUUCAAAUGUCAAGAGAGGUCAAAUAUUUUUUCACAGUACAGGUGUGUAAAAUGCCCACAAACUCCAUUGCUCGAAUUGAUCUUCACGGAAAGUACGUCAUGCUCACUUAAGGGCACACUCAAGACCUUUGGAUGCAAACUUUAUCCUCCGUACUGUACCGUGCUCUGUGGCUGCAUUUCUGCAUGUACAUGCCCGCGGUUCUGUUCAUAUCAAACUGAAGCUUCAACACAUGCGUACUCAAGCUCACAUUCCACCCCAGAAGCAGCGAUUUAUCACCAGGAGUUCACGCGCAGAGCUGUACAUGUGUAGGCACCACUGGACCUCCUCACAUCACCUCAAGCAAGCUUCCAUGGAUACAUGAUGGAUCAUUGAUGGAAACUGGGCAGGAAAGUGUUGUGCUACAGGGUGCAUGCACAGUCGGCGCAUACUGUCCCAAAUUUACGUCACGCAGACCCUAGUGGACCUCUGUGGACACAGACUGUAUGACCCCAGCUUCAAUGUGAGCUUUCCUACCUGGCAGCGGCUGAAUAUAUCGCUGGGAGUGGGCUGGACAUUGAAGUGUCUGAGGACUCUGACAGCCUGGUCUUUGGCCUUUUCUGAACAGUCAAGUGACAGACAGCGACCCUCGCCCACCUGGGAACGCAACUAUCAACAUGGAAAGAGAGAAGCAGGUUCAUGUAAAGAACACAAAGGCAUAUAAAAUGCAUUGAAAUUUG